UCCGGGAUGGUGUAAUCGGUAGCACGCUCGGUUUUGGUCCGAGAAGUGGUCUUGGGUUCGAGUCCCCCUCCCGGAG
rnacentral:tRNA from 1 species